GAGGGUAUAGCUCAGUAGUAGAGUGCGUGCUUAUCAUACACGAGGUCCUGGGUUCAAUCCCCAGUACCUCCA
rnacentral:tRNA from 1 species